rnacentral:rRNA from 1 species
UACAGAGGUCUCAAGCGUUGUUCGGAUUCAUUGGGCGUAAAGGGUGCGUAGGUGGCGCGCUAAGUCAGGAGUGAAAUUUCGGAGCUUAACUCCGAAACUGCAUUUGAUACUGGCGUGCUUGAGGACUGGAGAGGAGACUGGAAUUCACGGUGUAGCAGUGAAAUGCGUAGAUAUCGUGAGGAAGACCAGUGGCGAAGGCGGGUCUCUGGACAGUUCCUGACACUGAGGCACGAAGGCCAGGGGAGCAAACGGG